GAGAUGCCUGAUGCAAGGGUGAGGAUUCCUCAUCUCUUGAGGUUUUAAAAUGGGAUUAGACCUUGUUCUAAAUCUCAGGCAGGAGGUAGGUUUUUGUAGCAGGAAUCACUACGAGAAAUUCUACAGUCUCGUUCAGGUGGGGGAUAUGACUAAAUUGUCAUAAUAACCCUUUCUAGCCUAAACAUCUAUGAGGAGGAUGGGACAACACUGCCCAGGACCUCUGUCCAGUUAAGAAUCUAUGUCGCUGUCCAACUGCUUGACUUUCACUAGGGUACUACCUCUGGACUCUGCCUGUUACCUUCAGCCAACAAUGCCUCCAGUACCAUCGGUCCUACAGCAAAGAUGGGCUAAAAUUUCAAAAUCUGGAUCUGAAGUGCUGAUGGUGCCAAAAUGCAAGAGUACCUGGAUGCGUGGUUUUGGCUCAGCCAAGUCUUACUGAUCUCCCUGGAUCUUUUGAAGAAUGAGAUGGGUUUGAAGAAGAGGAUGACAAGUGCAAGGAGAUCAGGUCUACGAAGAAAUCCAGAAAGACAGCUAUCGUCUUUCACGGUACUUCUGGAAGCAGAGAGAGUCAGUGGAAGAUGCCUUCGAGUUGAGACGGAGGGGGACGGUUUUUUCCUGUUUAUUUUGGGGGAGAGAGAAGUCACAGAAAACAUUAUAGCCAAGGAAAAAAAAAAGGUCUGGAGCUGAGAGGAGUCCUCGAAACACUGUAAGAAAUGAGAACUUUUUUUUCUCUUUUUUUAAAGGGAGGGAAUUUGUAAUUUGCCAAAAGUUCUUCUACUUCUAAUGUCUGUCAACAGGCCACUGAACUUCUAUAGCAUUAAUUUUUCUCUCCCUGAUUCUCAGGUACUUCACACUCAGCUACAGAGUCCAUGAGACAAAGUUAUACCUAUGCUAAUCUAGGGUAACCUCAAGGAAGUAACUCUGGAUUGAAAGGGUUAUAACUGAGGCUAUGUCUACACUAUGGACUUCUGCUGGCAUCGCUGUGUUGAUCAGGGGUUUGAAGAGGAGUUUGAACAACAGAACUAUGCCCAACAGAAGCCCCUAGUGUAGAUGCAUUUUACUGAUAAAGCUCUACUUUUAUUGGUAUAGCUCAUUUCACUUGGGGUGAUUUUAUUAUACCAGUACUAAGCAUAGCUUUGCUGGUAUAUCUGUGUCCACACCUGAAGCAUUUGGCCUGUAUAGCAAACUGUUUUUUCUAUAAUAGUUAAGUCCUACUCGACAGAGCUAUAAUAUAGAAUUUACCCCUUUCAUCUCCUAAGGCUAUAUAAACACUAUCGUUCUGACUAUGCACCUAUCAAAUGCAUGUGGCAGAAAAAAUAGUGCCAUAUGAAUGUAUACAGUACAUAUACAACUGUAGUACAGUAUAUCACCUCAUUUGAGAGAAGCCUGCAACAUGAAUAAAAACAUUAAAAAAAUAAUAAUCA
rnacentral:lncRNA from 1 species